rnacentral:rRNA from 1 species
AUUGAACGCUGGCGGCAUGCUUUACACAUGCAAGUCGAACGGUAACAGGUUAAGCUGACGAGUGGCGAACGGGUGAGUAAUGCAUCGGAACGUGCCCGGUCGUGGGGGAUAACGCAGCGAAAGCUGCGCUAAUACCGCAUACGAUCUGAGGAUGAAAGCGGGGGACAGUAAGGCCUCGCGCGAUCGGAGCGGCCGAUGUCAGAUUAGGUAGUUGGUGGGGUAAAGGCUCACCAAGCCGACGAUCUGUAGCUGGUCUGAGAGGACGACCAGCCACACUGGGACUGAGACACGGCCCAGACUCCUACGGGAGGCAGCAGUGGGGAAUUUUGGACAAUGGGCGCAAGCCUGAUCCAGCAAUGCCGCGUGCAGGAAGAAGGCCUUCGGGUUGUAAACUGCUUUUGCACGGAGCGAAAAGGCUCUCUCUAAUACAGGGGGCUCAUGACGGUACUGUAAGAAUAAGCACCGGCUAACUACGUGCCAGCCGCCGCCGUAA